AGAAGGGGGGGAUGCAUGGGCGCAGCCUGAUGCAGCCAUGCCGCGUGUGUGAAGAAGGCCUUCGGGUUGUAAAGCACUUUCAGUCGUGAGGAAGGUGGUGUAGUUAAUAGCUGCAUUAUUUGACGUUAGCGACAGAAGAAGCACCGGCUAACUCCGUGCCAGCAGCCGCGGUAAUACGGAGGGUGCGAGCGUUAAUCGGAAUUACUGGGCGUAAAGCGCAUGCAGGUGGUUUGUUAAGUCAGAUGUGAAAGCCCGGGGCUCAACCUCGGAAUAGCAUUUGAAACUGGCAGACUAGAGUACUGUAGAGGGGGGUAGAAUUUCAGGUGUAGCGGUGAAAUGCGUAGAGAUCUGAAGGAAUACCGGUGGCGAAGGCGGCCCCCUGGACAGAUACUGACACUCAGAUGCGAAAGCGUGGGGAGCAAACAGGAUUAGAUACCCUGGUAGUCCACGCCGUAAACGAUGUCUACUUGGAGGUUGUGGCCUUGAGCCGUGGCUUUCGGAGCUAACGCGUUAAGUAGACCGCCUGGGGAGUACGGUCGCAAGAUUAAAACUCAAAUGAAUUGACGGGGGCCCGCACAAGCGGUGGAGCAUGUGGUUUAAUUCGAUGCAACGCGAAGAACCUUACCUACUCUUUGACAUCCAGAGAACUUUCCAGAGAUGGAUUGGUGCCCUUCGGGAACUCUGAGACAGGGUGCUGCAUGGCUGUCGUCAGCUCGGUGUUGUGAAAUGUUGGGUUAAGUCCCGCAACGAGCGCACCCUUAUCCUGGGCCGGUGAUAAACCGGAAGAAGGUGGGGACGACGUCAAGUCAUCAUGGCCCUUACGAGUAAGGGCUACACACGUG
rnacentral:rRNA from 1 species